UACGUAGGGGGGCAAGCGUUGUCCGGAAUCAUUGGGCGUAAAGAGCGUGUAGGCGGUUCGGUAAGUCGGCUGUGAAAGUCCAGGGCUCAACCCUGGGAUGCCGGUCGAUACUGCCGGACUAGAGUUCGGAAGAGGCGAGUGGAAUUCCCGGUGUAGCGGUGAAAUGCGCAGAUAUCGGGGAGGAACACCUAUGGCGAAGGCAGCUCGCUGGGACGUUACUGACGCUGAGAACGCGAAAGCGUGGGGAGCAAACAGG
rnacentral:rRNA from 1 species